rnacentral:rRNA from 1 species
AGUGAACGCUGGCGGUAGGCCUAACACAUGCAAGUCGAACGGCAGCACAGUAAGAGCUUGCUCUUACGGGUGGCGAGUGGCGGACGGGUGAGGAAUACAUCGGAAUCUACUUUUUCGUGGGGGAUAACGUAGGGAAACUUACGCUAAUACCGCAUACGACCUACGGGUGAAAGCAGGGGAUCUUCGGACCUUGCGCGAUUGAAUGAGCCGAUGUCGGAUUAGCUAGUUGGCGGGGUAAAGGCCCACCAAGGCGACGAUCCGUAGCUGGUCUGAGAGGAUGAUCAGCCACACUGGAACUAAGACACGGUCCAGACUCCUACGGGAGGCAGCAGUGGGGAAUAUUGGACAAUGGGCGCAAGCCUGAUCCAGCCAUACCGCGUGGGUGAAGAAGGCCUUCGAGUUGUAAAGCCCUUUUGUUGGGAAAGAAAAGCAGCAGGUUAAUACCCCGCUGUUCUGACGGUACCCAAAGAAUAAGCACCGGCUAACUUCGUG